UCUACGGGGGGCAGCAGUGGGGAAUAUUGGGAGGGGGCCGAAAGGCUGACCCAGCAACGCCGCGUCGUGAAUGAAGCCCUUCGGGGUGUAAACACCUUUCUGGCGAAGAUAAUGACGUA
rnacentral:rRNA from 1 species